rnacentral:rRNA from 1 species
ACGGAGGGUGCAAGCGUUAUUCGGAAUUACUGGGCGUAAAGCGCGUGUAGGCGGUCCUGCAAGUCUGAUGUGAAAGCCCCGGGCUUAACCCGGGAAGUGCAUUGGAAACUGUGGGACUUGAGUACGGGAGAGGAUAGUGGAAUUCCCGGUGUAGGGGUGAAAUUCGUAGAGAUUAGGAGGAAUAUCAGUGGCGAAGGCGGCUAUCUGGACGGUAACUGACGCUGAGACGCGAAAGCGUGGGGAGCAAACAG